UACGUAGGGGGCAAGCGUUGUCCGGAUUCACUGGGCGUAAAGCGCGCGCAGGCGGUCAUCUACGUCUGGGGUGAAAGCCCGGAGCUCAACUCCGGGAUUGCCUUGGAUACGGGAUGACUUGAGGAUCGGAGAGGCAAGGGGAAUUCCACGUGUAGCGGUGAAAUGCGUAGAGAUGUGGAGGAACACCUGUGGCGAAGGCGGCUCACUGGACCGGUAUUGACGCUGAGGUGCGAAAGCGUGGGGAGCAAACAGG
rnacentral:rRNA from 1 species